rnacentral:tRNA from 1 species
UGCUCUGUAGUUCAGUUGGUAGAACAACGCACUGUUAAUGCGAAGGUCACUGGUUCGAGUCCAGUCAGGGCAGUCA